AGCUCCAAUAGCGUAUAUUAAAGUUGUUGCGGUUAAAAAGCUCGUAGUUGGAUCUCGGCGAGUAGGGGGCGGUUAGUUGCUUAACUGUACUGCUCCAUUUACUCGUGUUUUUGACGGAGGUUGCCGGGUGCUCUUGAUCGAGUGUCCGGUGAUGCCGUCAGGUUUACUUUGAAAAAAAUAGAGUGCUCAAAGCAGGCUUAACACGCUUGAAUAUUCGUGCAUGGAAUAAUAGAAUAGGAUGUCGUUUCUAUUUUGUUGGUUUUCGGAAAUUGACAUAAUGAUAAAUAGGGACAGUCGGGGGCAUUAGUAUUCAAACGACAGAGGUGAAAUUCUUGGACCGUUUGAAGACUAACUACUGCGAAAGCAUUUGCCAAGAAUGUUUUCAUUAAUCAAGAACGAA
rnacentral:rRNA from 1 species